GCAAGGCUGAGUGGGGGCCAGGACUGUGACCUCUGCCUUAUCAUUACUCCCCACAGGACACCAAAGCAAGUGUCCCAACGGCAGCAGGAAGGCCUUGGAGAAAAAGAAAAAGAAAACCAAAAACAAAGUAACGCAAAAACCCAGAGGGACAAGGAAACAGAGGGAAACCCCAGACUCCCACAGCAGUCUUCCAACCAGAGCACAGAUAGGAGCUGGCUUUCUUAGGAGUGCGCUUUCUUGGAGGGUGAACCUGAAUUGGGGUAUCUUCAAGAAGACCAGUUUGGGGGCUGCUUCUCUCCUUCAGAGGUCUCCAGGUAAGAAACCAGUCUGCAGGAAAUGGGGGAAGCAGAUCACUCUGGGAGCGUCCUCCUCCAUCUCCCCCUUCUCCACCGGCAGUUCAU